UACGUAGGGAGCAAGCGUUGUCCGGAAUCAUUGGGCGUAAAGCGCGCGUAGGCGGCUCGAUCAGUCUGUUGUGAAAGUCAAAGGCUCAACCUUUGAAUGCCGAUGGAUACUGUCGAGCUAGAGUCCGGAAGAGGCGGGUGGAAUUCCUGGUGUAGCGGUGGAAUGCGCAGAUAUCAGGAGGAACACCAACGGCGAAGGCAGCCCGCUGGGACGGUACUGACGCCAAGGCGCGAAAGCGUGGGGAGCGAACAGG
rnacentral:rRNA from 1 species